UAGCUCUCUUUUGGAGCUUUGGGAGAGAUUUCUUCUCUUGAGGGUGCUAGGAAGCUAGUGGAUACCUCCAUCGAAGCAAACGAAAAGCUUCGUUGUCGUCGAGCCUUCCACGCCGGGAGAGGCUAGGGACCGCGGGAAGGG